AAUAUUUAAAUAAUUUAAUAUAAAAUAUUGAUUUGUGGUAUCAAAAAUAUGAAUUUUUCAUUUUAAAUU
rnacentral:tRNA from 1 species